AAUCAACGCUGGCGGCGUGCCUCAGACAUGCAAGUCGAACGAUUAAAGCUCUCUUCGGAGAGUGCAUAGAGUGGCGCACGGGUGAGUAACACGUAAGUAAUCUACCCUCGAGUGGGGAAUAACGUCCGGAAACGGGCGCUAAUACCGCAUAAUGCAGCGGCAUCAUAAGAUGACAGUUGUUAAAGAUUUAUCGCUUGAGGAGGAGCUUGCGGCAGAUUAGCUAGUUGGUAAGGUAACGGCUUACCAAGGCUACGAUCUGUAACCGGUCUUAGAGGACGGUCGGUCACACUGACACUGAAUAACGGGUCAGACUCCUACGGGAGGCAGCAGUCGGGAAUUUUGGGCAAUGGGCGAAAGCCUGACCCAGCAACGCCGCGUGAAGGAUGAAGUAUUUCGGUAUGUAAACUUCGAAAGAAUAGGAAGAAUUAACGACGGUACUAUUUAUAAGGUCCGGCUAACUACGUGCCAGCAGCCGCCGUAACAC
rnacentral:rRNA from 1 species